rnacentral:rRNA from 1 species
GCUGGCGGCAGGCCUAACACAUGCAAGUCGAGCGAUCCCUUCGGGGAUAGCGGCGGACGGGUGAGUAACGCGUGGGAAUGUGCCUCUGGGUGCGGAACAACCGUUGGAAACGACGGCUAAUACCGCAUGAUGUCUUCGGACCAAAGAUUUAUCGCCCAGAGAUCAGCCCGCGUUGGAUUAGCUAGUUGGGGGGGUAAUGGCCCACCAAGGCGACGAUCCAUAGCUGGUUUGAGAGGAUGAUCAGCCACACUGGGACUGAGACACGGCCCAGACUCCUACGGGAGGCAGCAGCGGGGAAUCUUAGACAAUGGGGGAAACCCUGAUCUAGCCAUGCCGCGUGAACGAUGAAGGCCUUAGGGUUGUAAAGUUCUUUCACCGGGGAAGAUAAUGACGGUACCCGGAGAAGAAGCCCCGGCUAACUCCGUGCCAGCAGCCGCGGUAAUACGGAGGGGGCUAGCGUUGUUCGGAAUUACUGGGCGUAAAGCGCGCGUAGGCGGACUGAUCAGUCAGGGGUGAAAUCCCGGGGCUCAACCC